GACGAACGCUGGCGGCGCGCUUAACACAUGCAAGUCGAACGGAAAGGCCUGCUUUCCCUUGUGGAUUGCGGGUACUCGAGUGGCGAACGGGUGAGUAACACGUGAGUGAUCUGCCCCCAACUUGGGUAUAAGCCUGGGAAACUGGGUCUAAUUCCCGAUAGGACUGCAGGGUGGUGCCUGUGGUGGAAAACGAUUUUCUAGUGGUUGGGGAUGAGCUCGCGGCCUAUCAGCUUGUUGGUGGGGUAAUGGCCUACCAAGGCGGCGACGGGUAGCCGGCCUGGGAGGGUGGACGGCCACAUUGGGACUGGGAUACGGCCCAGACUCCUACGGGAGGCAGCAGUGGGGAAGAUUGCACAAUGGGCGGAAGCCUGAUGCAGCGACGCCGCGUGGGGGAUGACGGCCUUCGGGUUGUAAACUCCUUUCGACCGCGAGGAAGCCACCUGGUUGGAAGGGUGGUGACGGUAGUGGUAGAAGAAGCACCGGCUAACUACGU
rnacentral:rRNA from 1 species